UCCGGUUUGGCACCGGCAGUCCUCCCAGAGUCCUCGACUUGACUCGCUAGCAACUGGGAGCGGGGGUUGCGCUCGUUGCGGGACUUAACCCAACAUCUCACGACACGAGCUGACGACAGCCAUGCAGCACCUGUCUUGGGACUCCGAAGAGGGGCCGUGGUUUCUCACGGCUUUCCCCAAGAUGUCAAGCCCAGGUAAGGUUCUUCGCGUUGCGUCGAAUUAAACCACAUGCUCCACCGCUUGUGCGGGCCCCCGUCAAUUCCUUUGAGUUUCAGCCUUGCGGCCGUACUCCCCAGGCGGGGCACUUAAUGCGUUAGCGCCGGCACCCAGGGGGUCGCUCCCCCAGGCACCUAGUGCCCAUCGUUUACGGCGUGGACUAC
rnacentral:misc_RNA from 1 species